rnacentral:rRNA from 1 species
GACGAACGCUGGCGGCGUGCCUAAUACAUGCAAGUCGAGCGGACCGAAGGGAGCUUGCUCCUUUAGGUUAGCGGCGGACGGGUGAGUAACACGUGGGCAACCUGCCCUGCAGACUGGGAUAACUUCGGGAAACCGGAGCUAAUACCGGAUAACACCGAAAACCGCAUGGUUUUCGGUUGAAAGGCGGCUUUUAGCUGUCACUGCAGGAUGGGCCCGCGGCGCAUUAGCUAGUUGGUGAGGUAACGGCUCACCAAGGCGACGAUGCGUAGCCGACCUGAGAGGGUGACCGGCCACACUGGGACUGAGACACGGCCCAGACUCCUACGGGAGGCAGCAGUAGGGAAUCUUCCGCAAUGGACGAAAGUCUGACGGAGCAACGCCGCGUGAGCGAAGAAGGUCUUCGGAUCGUAAAGCUCUGUUGUCAGGGAAGAACAAGUACCGUUCGAACAGGGCGGUACCUUGACGGUACCUGACGAGGAAGCCACGGCUAACUACGUGCCAGCAGCCGCGGUAAUACGUAGGUGGCAAGCGUUGUCCGGAAUUAUUGGGCGUAAAGCGCGCGCAGGCGGUUCCUUAAGUCUGAUGUGAAAUCUCGCGGCUCAACCGCGAGCGGCCAUUGGAAACUGGGGAACUUGAGUGCAGGAGAGGGGAGCGGAAUUCCACGUGUAGCGGUGAAAUGCGUAGAGAUGUGGAGGAACACCAGUGGCGAAGGCGGCUCUCUGGCCUGUAACUGACGCUAG